GUUGAACUUAAGCAUAUCAAUAAGCGGAGGAAAAGAAACUAACAAGGAUUCCCCUAGUAACUGCGAGUGAAGCGGGAAAAGCUCAAAUUUAAAAUCUGGUGGCUUUGCCGCCCGAGUUGUAAUCUGGAGAAGUGCUUUCCGUGCUGGACCGUGUACAAGUCUCUUGGAACAGAGCGUCAUAGAGGGUGAGAAUCCCGUCUUUGACACGGACUACCAGUGCUUUGUGAUGCGCUCUCAAAGAGUCGAGUUGUUUGGGAAUGCAGCUCAAAAUGGGUGGUAAAUUCCAUCUAAAGCUAAAUAUUGGCGAGAGACCGAUAGCGAACAAGUACCGUGAGGGAAAGAUGAAAAGAACUUUGGAAAGAGAGUUAAACAGUACGUGAAAUUGCUGAAAGGGAAACACUUGAAGUCAGUCGCGUUGGCCAGAACUCAACCUUGCUCUGGCAUGGUGUACUUUCUGGUUGACGGGUCAGCAUCAGUUUUGAUUGUCGGACAAUGGUCAAGGGAAUGUGGCAUCCUCGGAUGUGUUAUAGCCUUUGAUCGCAUGCGAUGGUCGGGACUGAGGAUCUUGGCACCUUGUGCUUAGGAUGCUGGCAUAAUGGCUUUAAAUGACCCGUCUUGAAACACGGACCAAGGAGUCUAACGUGCAUGCGAGUGUUUGGGUGGUAAACCCGAGCGCGUAAUGAAAGUGAAAGUUGAGACCCCUGUCGUGGGGGGCAUCGACGCCCGGACCAGACCUUCUGUGACGGCCCUGCGGUAGAGCAUGUAUGUUGGGACCCGAAAGAUGGUGAACUAUGCCUGAAUAGGGUGAAGCCAGAGGAAACUCUGGUGGAGGCUCGUAGCGAUUCUGACGUGCAAAUCGAUCGUCAAAUUUGGGUAUAGGGGCGAAAGACUAAUCGAACCAUCUAGUAGCUGGUUCCUGCCGAAGUUUCCCU
rnacentral:rRNA from 1 species